GCAGGUGAAGUGUUGCGGUGACACGCCGGUGCGCCACACCGGAGUCGUUGGGUCCGAUUCCCACCACCUGCU
rnacentral:tRNA from 1 species